CCGGCGGUAACGGAAGGGCGCCGUGCCCCGGCGGCGGCGAUGGCGCGGCGCGUCGUGAAGGGGUUGCUGCUGCUGGAGGCGGCGGGGCUGCUCGGCGCCCUCCUGCUCUACCGCGCCAUGGACAGCAGCCAAGACUUCAGACAUACAAUGCAGAAGAGAUUUCCAUCAAUUCUGGAAGUGUAUUACAAAUCCAAUGAGUGGUCUGGAAUUCACGGCAUAAGGGAGAAUGACCAAAUGACAUGGUUAAGCAGCAAGAACUGAACCCUUUGUGCCUGAACUGUUUCUUCCUUUUGAUGAUACUUUUCACAUCCCUAUUGUGAAGCCACUUGUCACGCUCAAUUUCCCACUGGAUCUGUUUGGCAUCUGUAAGAGGAAAGGUGAGAAAUAAGGAGCUGAUGGAUACCUCUGACCACGAUGUGGAACACAGAUGAAUCAUGUAAAAGUAUUUAUAAGUGUUAAUAAAGUGCAAGGUGCCAAUUUUUUUUGACACCAGAAAAA